GGCGGUUCUCGGGUGAUGCACCCUGGAAUCAGGCUCCCUCCUCUCUGGUUCCGGGUGUGUCACCCAAGAACCUCC
rfam:Myotis lucifugus cont2.7218, whole genome shotgun sequence.